CCUACGGGAGGCAGCAGUAGGGAAUCUUCCACAAUGGGCGCAAGCCUGAUGGAGCAACACCGCGUGAGUGAAGAAGGGUUUCGGCUCGUAAAGCUCUGUUGUUGGAGAAGAACGUGCGUGAUAGUAACUGUUCACGCAGUGACGGUAUCCAACCAGAAAGUCACGGCUAACUACGUGCCAGCAGCCGCGGUAAUACGUAGGUGGCAAGCGUUAUCCGGAUUUAUUGGGCGUAAAGCGAGCGCAGGCGGUUGGUUAGGUCUGAGGUGAAAUCCUUCGGCUUAACCGAAGAAGUGCAUCGGAAAGCGGGCGACUGGAGUGCAGAAGAGAACAGGGAAACUCCAUGGGUAGAGGUGGAAGGCG
rnacentral:rRNA from 1 species